GGGGUUGUGGCUCAGUGGUAGAGUGCUCGCCUGACAUGCAUGAGACACUGGAUUCAAUUCUCAGCACCUCA
rnacentral:tRNA from 1 species